UUUAAAGUAAGGAAUAUCUUAUUAGCGCGAACAGCUAAGGCUAAUUUGAAUAUUAAUUUAAUGAAGAGUACGCCUGGCGCGUCACAAAGGAAAUAUCUGCUUUUCGCCUGAUGUGUUACAAAAAAUAAAGUAGCACAUUUUGUUAAAAA
rnacentral:sRNA from 23 species